CACACGUGACGCGCCAUUCCCGCAUCUGCUCUCGCGACCGCUCGCACCUUAUGUUUGCUGACUGCAAAUGAUCAUAAUUGAUGGACAACUAUACCCGGGAAAAGACAUCAGCAAUUCAGCGUCAAGAAAAGAAAAAUAACAAAAGAUGAAGCCUGUGCAUUACUUUCAGAUGCAGCCAUGAACAGCAGGACACCAACAGCAGCAGCAGCAGCAGCAGCAGUACAUAUUCCUGGUAUUUUACCUGAAGACAGACCUGAAACUGAACGACAGCAGGAACACCUGAAACAAACCAGCUGACUGAAGGAUCUUCAUGCCAAAACAUAAAACAAACUCUGGAUCUGAAAGUGAUUAAUCAUGCUCUUUGAAAAGCAACACAUAUCUCUGUUUUGCAUACAUUUUAUAAACUUAUUUUACAUUAAUUCCUCAUUCAAACAGAAAGGAUAACAUUAAUUAUGUGAUCUAAACCUGCUUUUAAAAAGAUUUAUUCAUUAAAUUCAUUAAAUGACUCACCAUGAACAGUAACAAUGAAGGUAUUUUCGCUGCUGUAUCUGAUGCUGAUGAUCUUUAAUUCAUAAAGUCCAGCGUCUGUGGUUCUGAUGUCUGUGAUUGUAAGAGUUCCAGUUUUACUGUCCAGCUCUAGUCUGUCCUCG